GACUAUACAAAGGUAUUGUAAUAAGACUUUAAUUGAGUGCUAAAAGAAUGGAUUGUCAAAAAAACUCUUUUUUAAAUUUAAAAAUUGAAGUUAUUUUUAUUUGUGAAGAAACAAUAAUAAAAAUUAAGGACAAGAAGACCCUAAGAAUUUUUAUAAAUAUUUUAUAUAUAUAUAAUCAUAUAUAAUAUUUAUUUAAUUGGGGCGAUUAAAAAAUAUAUUUAACUUUGUUUGUAACCAACAUGAUCCAUUAAUAAUGAUUUUAUGGAAAAAAUACUCUAGGGAUAACAGCGUAAUAAUUUUAGAUAGAUCUUAUAGAAAAAAUAGUUUGCGACCUCGAUGUUGGAUUAGGAUUCUUAUUUAAUGAAGAAGUUAAAUGGAGAAGUUUGUUCAACUUUUAAAAUCCU
rnacentral:rRNA from 1 species